rfam:Lentisphaerae bacterium GWF2_44_16 gwf2_scaffold_1989, whole genome shotgun sequence.
UGAAGCCUUUCCGGGUAAGGUUGAUCCAUCCGCCGGAACUCCGAGUGUUGUUUUGACUGUCCGCGAAGAGUUAGGAAAGUGUACACCGGAGAAAACACAGGCCCAGUAUUGAGCCUCAAAACUUUUUUCAAGUAUAAGAUUC